rnacentral:rRNA from 1 species
AUGAACGCUAGCUACAGGCUUAACACAUGCAAGUCGAGGGGAAACGGCGUUGAGUGCUUGCACUGAAUGGACGUCGACCGGCGCACGGGUGAGUAACGCGUAUCCAACCUUCCCAUAACUAAGGGAUAACCUGCCGAAAGGCAGACUAAUACCUUAUGUAAUUCUUCGAUGACAUCAGAAGAGAAUGAAAGAUUUAUCGGUUAUGGAUGGGGAUGCGUCUGAUUAGCUUGUUGGCGGGGUAACAGCCCACCAAGGCGACGAUCAGUAGGGGUUCUGAGAGGAAGGUCCCCCACAUUGGAACUGAGACACGGUCCAAACUCCUACGGGAGGCAGCAGUGAGGAAUAUUGGUCAAUGGGCGAGAGCCUGAACCAGCCAAGUAGCGUGCAGGAUGACGGCCCUAUGGGUUGUAAACUGCUUUUGUAUGGGGAUAAAGUCAAUCACGUGUGAUUGUUUGCAGGUACCAUACGAAUAAGGACCGGCUAAUUCCGUG